rnacentral:rRNA from 1 species
UACGUAGGGGGCUAGCGUUGUCCGGAAUCAUUGGGCGUAAAGCGCGUGUAGGCGGUUAUCCAAGUCGGGUGUGAAAGCCUUGAGCUCAACUCAAGAAAUGCACUCGGUACUGGGUGACUAGAGGACCGGAGAGGAUAGUGGAAUUCCCAGUGUAGUGGUGAAAUACGUAGAGAUUGGGAAGAACACCAGUGGCGAAGGCGGCUAUCUGGACGGUUUCUGACGCUAAGACGCGAAAGCGUGGGGAGCAAACAGG